ensembl:lncRNA
GCACUGUUCUAGGGAAAUGUUGUCCGUUUAUAAUUAGCACAGGCAGAGAGCAAAAAAUGACAAGAAAAUAAAGACACAACUUAUUUUAAUCAUGAAUCUAUUAAACCCUCCAAUGCAAGAUUACAGUUCCAAAGAUGAAUCAUCAGCAUUGCUUGACGUCAAAUGUUGGUAAUUUGCAAUUUAUCCUCUUUUUUUUUUGCUUCAGUCUCUGUGGUAAUGUAUGAUGGAAAUGCUUUAAAAAAAUCUCUACAAGACCUCAAUGACCUAAUCUAUGAAUUAAAAAUGGCAGAGGUCUGCAAAUAUGACCCGACCUCUACGCUAUUGUUGUAUGAAAAGAGCUGCAUAAAGGUUCUUCUCCAUGUUCCACAGGAAAAAUAGCAUGAAGGCAGGAACCCCCUUGGCAUGUGAAAUAAAGAAUUAUACGAGAGUGGUCUGCCAUUCGCUGCACAUCAUUCAAAAUUCAGAAGUUCUGUCUGAGUUUUAUUAGCCCGGGUAGCAGGAACAUGCUCAUAACGUGACAGCAUUAUAUCGAGUGAUUCUCCAAUAGAAUUAUGCCGAA